GCGGGGAUAGCUCAGUUGGGAGAGCGUUAGACUGAAGAAAUACUUCGGUUUCAAAGACAUCUAAAGGUCGCCGGUUCAAUCCCGGCUCACCGCA
rnacentral:tRNA from 1 species